AGUGAACGCUGGCGGUAGGCCUAACACAUGCAAGUCGAACGGCAGCACAGUAAGAGCUUGCUCUUACGGGUGGCGAGUGGCGGACGAGUGAGGAAUACAUCGGAAUCUACUUUUUCGUGGGGGAUAACGUAGGGAAACUUACGCUAAUACCGCAUACGACCUACGGGUGAAAGCAGGGGAUCUUCGGACCUUGCGCGAUUGAAUGAGCCGAUGUCGGAUUAGCUAGUUAGCGGGGUAAAGGCCCACCAAGGCGACGAUCCGUAGCUGGUCUGAGAGGAUGAUCAGCCACACUGGAACUGAGACACGGUCCAGACUCCUACGGGAGGCAGCAGUGGGGAAUAUUGGACAAUGGGCGCAAGCCUGAUCCAGCCAUACCGCGUGGGUGAAGAAGGCCUUCGGGUUGUAAAGCCCUUUUGUUGGGAAAGAAAAGCAGCAGGUUAAUACCCCGCUGUUCUGACGGUACCCAAAGAAUAAGCACCGGCUAACUUCGUG
rnacentral:rRNA from 1 species